rnacentral:piRNA from 2 species
GGGGGGUGUAGCUCAGUGGUAGAGCGCGUGC